AAACGACCUAGUGCACUCCACCCUGGAGCGAGUUGAAACCAGAGGAACUGGAGAAAUGACUGUUGCUGACACCAGAAGCCAGCUUCGUUAGUAUUCCAACGUGGACUGGACACCAGCAGCUCUCUAGAAAUCCUUCAGGCUUCAGUACCAGAUUGGGACUCCUGAAACAUCUAGCCUCAUGGACUGAGCAGCUACCAGUUUCUCCAGCUGUCUAGCCUAUACACAGCCACUGUUGGACUACCCAGCCCAUAUCAUGUAAUAAAUGUUCUUUUUAGUAUA